AUUCCAGCUCCAAUAGCGUAUAUUAAAGUUGUUGCGGUUAAAAAGCUCGUAGUUGGAUUUCUGCUGAGGACGACCGGUCCGCCCUCUGGGUGAGUAUCUGGCUUGGCCUUGGCAUCUUCUUGGAGAACGUAGCUGCACUUGACUGUGUGGUGCGGUAUCCAGGACUUUUACUUUGAGGAAAUUAGAGUGUUUCAAGCAGGCACACGCCUUGAAUACAUUAGCAUGGAAUAAUAAGAUAGGACCUUGGUUCUAUUUUGUUGGUUUCGAACACCGGAGUAAUGAUUAACAGGGACAGUCAGGGGCACUCGUAUUCCGCCGAGAGAGGUGAAAUUCUCGGACCAGCGGAAGACGAACCACUGCGAAAGCAUUUGCCAGGGAUGUUUUCAUCG
rnacentral:rRNA from 1 species